AUGUGGGACAGGUCACGGGAAUGGAGGGGGAUAGUAAGAGAAAACAGCAACGAAAUGAAAGUAGUCACUGUUUUCUGACUCUGACUGCUGUGGUUACUUUGUGAAGCCAGAAGCCUUCCCAGCUUCUCUGUCUGUGGGAAGUGUUAGCAACAGGGUCAGUUACCUCUACCACCAUGUAUUGAGGGCUAUCAGGGGCUGGUUGUGAUUUUAUUCAUUUUCUUGGCCACCUUCUCAGGGAGGUUAUCACGGGCCCCAUUUUGCACACGAGGAAAUCGAGGUUUACCAAGUUAAAGUGACUUGCUGAAGUUUACCCACUAGGGCCUGGCCACGUUGGGAUGGGAAACCAGAUGGAAGUGAAGUCUGUCGAGGAAGGGCUGUCUAAAAAAUUCGCUCAAAGGUGCCGUCUGGGCUAGCACUGGCCUCAUAAAUAAGGACACAGACACGCCCGUUUGUUUCCGUUCUGGCUAUUUGGAGUUACAACAGCAGCAGACAGGGGCUGCCUCACAGGGGCUGUAGGCCCCAUAAAGGCAAGAGUACCCACCUUCUGGCCCUCGGCUGACAAACUUUGUCCAUCUCUGAUCUAAUUAGUCUGGCAACGAAACCUGACCUGACUGGACGUGAACGAGGCUCUUCCUACUUGUUAUCUGUGCCAUUUGGUGUAAACAGUUGCAUGUUUCCCAGCAGAAUACCAGUUAAAAUGGUUUGAUUACAGGAAUGCCUCAGGUUCAGCUGAGGGUGUGAUGUCCUAUGUAGAACGGGUCCUAUAUGAUUUUUCUAAAAUCACAAAAUAUUCUGAACUUUGAAACGCAUUUGCUGGUAGUGGUUUUAAGAUAAGGGACGCCUGAGUGGCUCAGUGGCUCAGCGACUGCCUUCGUCUCAGGGUGUGAUCCUGGAGUCCCGGGAUCAAGUCCCACAUCGGGCUCCCUGCAUGGAGCCUGCCUAUGUC